rnacentral:misc_RNA from 1 species
CGGACCUUGUUUUCCCCCUUCUCGACACCGCACGACCGCCGCACCACCAGAGGCCCUCUCCUCCCCAACGCAAGACCCCCGUCACACACACACACACACACACACAACUGAAGUCAGACAAGAACAGCGUAGCCAUCCGCUGGUGCGGAGCGGCCUGAGUAUUGUCGUUGAUACGGGCAAUGGUCUGUGUGCGCGUCGGCGUGCUUGUCUGUCUAUAUUGCUAGCUAAAGCACCCAUUGCUACCCAAGCUCCUCCGGGCCCCUCGCUGUCUGCGCGUGAGUCUGUCUUCUUCACUCUCUCCGCUCUGCGGCUUUCGACCGCCUCUCGUUUUCUUUUAAUCCUUGUUGACCGUAAUGCAGGCACCUUACGUUGCCGCAUAGAUUGCUAUUCUCCUCCUCCCUCUCUCAGAACGUGUGACUGGGCCGUCACCUCGAGCCCCUUGCGUGCUGUGUCUGUUAUUUGCUUUCUCGCGCGCUCUCGUCGCGUGAACGCGAGCUAUUCUCCCUUAGCUUUCAGCUCCCACCCCUUCUCUGGUUGAGGAGGCAACUUACAAUGGGCUCUGCUGCUGUUACACGGACGCAUGCGUCUCAAAGCCCUCGCGGCCACCACGGCAUGCGUUCACUGCCGCUGCUCUCCCUGGUGGUCCUUUCCGUGCUUCACGUCCUGUUGAUUCUCAUCGGGGUCACUCAUGCGGCUGUCGAGCGGCAGGGGGAGGGUGUUUUGCUAGGGCAGUGGGCCGACGCCACAUCCACCUAUUUCGGUACCACCGCCACGCCGUUCGUCUUAGAAAACGGCACAACGGUGUACUUGCCGGCCCCUCCGCUGCGGGUUUUGACGCUUGUCGAUUGGCAGAACCAACGGCACACCGAGUUUCUCAGCAGCUGGCCCAACCAGUCGUCAUUGACACUUUGGGCGAAUCGCAACACUGCCAUCUCCUACGCUUCACGCAUCAUCUCGUCUGAUCUAGUGUACCGCGCCGCAUGGUCGACCGGCCCGCUGCCUGCGAAGACGGCGAGCGGGAGCACCGUCGGCGACGCCGAGCUCAAGGUGGUCAGCGCUAUGGCGGCCGACCUGCUAGGAAUUGGUGAGCUAGACAUUGUCGUGCAGGCCAGUAACGGAUCCAUCUGGGUGCUCAAUCAUUCUUCCGUCGCCUCCACGUCGUCGUCCUCGUCCAAGUCGGCCUUUGAACCCAUCUUCGUCAUCAACGCUGACGCGGCUGCCGCCUCUGUCACCACCACAGUCACGGCGACAUCGGAUGUGUCGAUGCAGUUCAAGGUGCCCAAUGCUCCCCAACUUGCUGUGGUACCGGAUGUUCUAUGCGACCUGGCGAACCCGCACGCGGCGCAGACAGCCAUGGCCUUUGUGAAUGCAGACGAUCAGCUUGUCUUGCUUUCUCGCACCACGAAUGCGACCAUGGCGUCGACGGUGCAGUGGCCGCCACAUUACGUGGCGCGUGUGCUUGUGGACGAGCACAGCAACACCACGCAACGCGCUGUGUUGCCUUUGUCUGUUGCGCUGGCGGACGUGAACGAAGACUGCGCGGCAGAGCUACUGUACGCGGUGCGCGACACGCAGGAGCAUCGGUACGAAGUGCACAUGCUCAGUCAGAGUGGGCUGUCAGUGCCAGCCGCAUCAUCUCUGCUGCUGCUGCAGCUAGCCGAGGACGCCGGAGAGCGCUACGGCGAAACCUUCACGCUUGCCGACGUGAAUGGCGACGGCCUGCCGGAGCUGCUGCUCUCUGUUCAGCUCGCCAACGCUACCUCAUCCUGCACCGCGGCGGACACGGCAGACGUCCCGGAGCCGUGCACGCCGUAUCAUGCUAUCCGAGUUUUCUACCCGAUCCGCGCUUCGGGCGUGAGCGGUGCACCGUCGUGCGGGUUGUCUGCGUCGAGCGACGAGCGACACCUCACAUACACGUUUGCCCAGAGCGAGUUAUUGGCGUUGACGGCGGAGUGGUGCGGAGUGGCAGAUUGGAUCGAGGGUAAUCAGCCAACCGCGGGCGGCAGUUUCCCCUUGUACAUGCCGAGCUACCCAUCGGCGCCGCUGGUGCUCCGACCAGGUGACUACAACCGCGAUCGACUCGUGGACCUAAUCAUCCCCAGCUCCUUCGGGCCUCUGGUGCUGACCUCGCGCGCUGUUAGCGGCGCUCGGUCGAUGGUGUGCACACCACUCGACGCCAGCGCUGGAGUUUCAGCAGUGAAGCAGGCCACGAAAAACUCAAAACUCACCAGCUCCUCUACGGCGUACCGAGAGGCCUACCGCACUGCCACGCCGUUCUUCGGCACGCUGGCCCAGCUUGGACGGCUUGAAGUUGUUCUGACACACCAUAGACAGUACUCGAGCACUGUUACGUCGAGGACAGCUGUGGUGACGGCCGCUGAUUUUACCCGGAGCGCGAUGCAGGUGUACCAAAAUGGGGCGGUGCCGAGCCGAUCGUACUUUCUCUCAGCCUCGGCUAUCACAGCGGCAGCGCACGGUGCUGCGUGCGUCGGGGCCACACAUCACAUGACGUGGCAGGACAUCCACAUGCGCUCACAUUGGGCCACCGUGACCCAGCUUGAGCGAACACAAGGACACGCGCUGCUCCCUUCGCAGGUGCUGGUCGGCCUUGACGAGACCUUCUCUUACGUGCAUGACUACACCGUCGGACUUCGCGUGACGCAGCGCACCAGCGAUGUGGAGAGUACAUCGCAUGAGAACAAGUCGAGUAUGACGGAGCUCAUGCAAACGGUGCAGCGCAAGGAGUGGCCGUCGUACCUCGUCCCAAAUGCGGCGGUAUUUGCGCAGCUGACACCGAUAGACAAGCCGCACGAGUGGAGCUUGGAGAUGUACCUUCCUACGUCGACGUAUCGUGUGCUGCUGGUGACGGCGUUGGCUGUGGCUCUGGUUGCGAUUGGGCUGCCGGUUGUGUGGCUGCGCUGCGGAGAGAUGCGAAGGGACUACAACGAGUGGCGCACUCCGCUGUGACUCUGUGAGAGAAGUAUGUGAUGUUUGUGGUGGUGAGGUGUACGAGCGGUAUAAAAAACGGGACAGUGCCAUGUUGCAGCAGGACUCUCUGCCCCCCCCCCCCCCCCUUUCCCGCUGCGUGUGCUUCUGCUGGUGCGUGUCUGUCUCGCAUUUUUGUUUCUUCACACCCUUUUCUCGUGCACUGCACGCGUGCGCCAUCGUUGGGCCCUGCUGCAUCAAUGCUAGUAGUCCGUGUACAAGCCACCAAAGACACGCACUCCCCAAAUCCUCAGGAGGUGCUCAUUCCUCUCUCUUUUCGUUUCGGCACUCCCUCCGUCGUUGCCGGCAAGCCGCGCUGCCCUUGGCAGGAAGCUGCACCUGCCCAGAGCCUUGAAGUUGCCAGUCACCGGACGCUCCGCUUCCUGUUCUGCUCCGUGCUCCCCCUCUCCUUUUCUGAUCGUACCUGGUCUCUCGCUCUUCCAGCGUUUUCCGUAUCACGGCGGUACCAACGGCCCCUUCUCCCUGCUGCCGCUGCUCUCCGUCCGUCUCCUUCCCUCACUCUCAUUGCUGCCUUCUCUGCCGCCCCACUCCUUCGCACUUUUUCUUCAUACCACCCACCUCUCGCACACGUCCACGCCGUCCGCACACACUCUCUCCGUUUGGCGCCUCGCAAG